rnacentral:tRNA from 1 species
AAUGGGGUGGCAGAGACAGGUAAAAUGCAGCCGGCCUAAGCCCGUCAAUCAGAUGUUCAAAUCCUCUCCCCAUUU